GACGUAGGGCGCGAGCGUUGUCCGGAUUAUUGGGCGUAAAGGGCUCGUAGGCGGUCUGUCGCGUCGGGAGUGAAAACUCAGGGCUUAACCCUGAGCCUGCUUCCGAUACGGGCAGACUAGAGGUAUGCAGGGGAGAACGGAAUUCCUGGUGUAGCGGUGGAAUGCGCAGAUAUCAGGAGGAACACCGGUGGCGAAGGCGGUUCUCUGGGACGGUACUGACGCUGAGACGCGAAAGCGUGGGGGAGCGAACAGG
rnacentral:rRNA from 1 species